AGUUUCUACGUCACCAUUCUGAGCUGUACUAACAUUUAGGUGGUUCAUAUGAAAAUUUAGACUCCCGCUUAUACAGUAGGAAGUUUGUGGCCGGGAUAUCAUUGCAUAGUAUUCAGGAAUGCAAACAUAGUGUACAUAACGACUGGAGACCCUGCAUGUGCAUUAGAGAUAGGGACUUUUAGUGGCAACUUCAAUUGAAUUCAUACUGUCACAAAACCUUGGAAUGCAAACAGACAUAGAUUGGCACCCGAUAACGCGGCCACGUGGUAUAUGGAUUUGUCCUAUGUACUGUUAAGAAACAAGAUAGGUAAGCUAGCUACACCACCGUGAAUUCUCGUGGUCGUGGUGAUCGAGGUCAUCAAGAUAAGAUAUUGGAUGGUUAUAUAAAGGGAAGCUGUCUGCAGACGGAGAAUGGAAUCUAAUAAAAUUACUGGGCAAUACGCACGUCUCUUCUGUGGCACUCUUGCUGUGGUGUUGGUGCUAAUCAGCCUCGCCGUAGUGCUCAUCUUCUGCCGACAAAACCACCAACUGCCACUCGGUGUACAAGCUAAUGACGAUGGGGACAGUUCUGAGAUGGUGUGCUCUCGAUUGUCACGAUCCUCCGUAUAAAAACCGCGUGAAGUAAUGAAAACGGAAUCACCUAAUAUCGAUAAUUAUUGAUUACUUAUACUUAUCCCCCUCCAAUCAUGCAACCAAUAUCGAUCAGUCUUUUUCAGUUAAUUGAUCAGUAUCGUAUGUGACAUUAUCUGUAUCGCCGCAGCACACUUAAUGAAUUAUUCGC